CAGAUUGCAGGCNGCAACCCGCCUGCAUGAAGUCGGAAUUGCUAGUAAUCGCGGAUCAGCAUGCCGCGGUGAAUACGUUCCCGGGCCUUGUACACACCGCCCGUCACACCAUGGGAGCCGGUAAUACCCGAAGUCAGUAGUCCAACCACGUGAGGACGCUGCCGAAGGUAGGAUUGGCGACUGGGGUGAAGUCGUAACAAGGUAGC
rnacentral:rRNA from 1 species